rnacentral:rRNA from 1 species
UUGGAGGGCAAGUCUGGUGCCAGCAGCCGCGGUAAUUCCAGCUCCAAUAGCGUGUACUAAAGUUGCUGCAGUUAAAAAGCUCGUAGUUGAAUUUCGGGACCAAUAUGUCGGUCGUGCCUCGGUACGUACUGGCAUCGUUGGUUUCUCCCUUCUGAUGAACCAUGAUGUCAUUUAUUUGGUGUCGUGGGGAAUCAGGACUGUUACUUUGAAAAAAUUAGAGUGUUUAAAGCAGGCUCACGCUUGAAUACAUUAGCAUGGAAUAAUGAAAUAGGACGUUUGAUUCUAUUUUGUUGGUUUCUAGGAUCGACGUAAUGAUUAAUAGGGAUAGUUGGGGGCAUUAGUAUUCAAUUGUCAGAGGUGAAAUUCUUGGAUUUAUUGAAGACUAACUACUGCGAAAGCAUUUGCCAAGGAUGUUUUCAUUAAUCAAGAACGAAAGUUAGGGGAUCGAAGACGAUCAGAUACCGUCGUAGUCUUAACCAUAAACUAUGCCGACUAGGGAUCGGAUGAUGUUAAUUUUUUAAUGACUCAUUCGGCGCCUUACGGGAAACCAAAGUGUUUGGGUUC